rnacentral:lncRNA from 1 species
UAUACACACACCUGCCAGGGCAGCUCAUACAUGUAGAUCCGCAGCUUGUGCAUCGAGCUAUGCGGGUGGUUGGUUGGUUGAUUGGUUGGGGAUUACAUUCACGAUGAGUCAAAGCCGGGGAGGGGCACAUGCACGAAGGGUGGAGGUGGAGCCGCUGUUAUUACCGUACAUGGUGGGUGGGAAGCGCGAGGUGCGGGGAUGGCGGUGUGAGCAGGCAGGGCGUCAAGCAGCAGGUACCCAGUCGGUCACCACCCAGCUCCCAGCACCCCUCCUGGCCCCAGCUCCCCACCCGCCCCACACAAGCUCCACUCCAGCUCCUCCGCUGCCCCCGCCGCCAAGGGCACACCGCUUCACCGCCAUCAUGAGACCUGCUCCUCGGGCUUGGGCACACACACCCACGAACCCCGAGACCCACACCCCACACACCCCACACACCCACGAACCCCCAGACCCAAACACACCCCACACACCCACGGACCCCCAGACCCACACACCCACACACCCACACUCUCACCCAGGAUCCCCCCCCCCCCACACACACACAACCACACAGACUCCCCACGCACGCACACACCAGACCCACACUCCCACCCAGACCCCCCCCCCCACACACACAGCCCCCCCCCCCCACUCUCACCGCAUGUCGGGCAGCUCCGCCAGCUCCGACGGCUGCGGCUCCACGCCCCCAGCUGCCUCCUCACUUUCCCCUACAUCGUAAUCGUCCGCACCAUAAUCCUGCUCCUGCUCGGCAGCGUAAUCCUGCUCCUGCUCCGACGCGUAAUCCUGCUGCUGCUCUUCGUCGUCGUCCUCCUCCUCUUCCAUCUUCUGCCUCUUCCCGCUCCUGUUGCCGCUCCUCUUUCCGCUCCUCUUUCCGCUCGUCUUGCCCGGCCUACUAGCGCCAGCACCAGCGCCAGCACUAGCGCCAGCACCAGCGCCAGCACUAGCGCCAGCACCAGCGCCAGCACUAGCGCCAGCACCAGCGCCAGCACUAGCGCCAGCACCAGCGCCGGCUGCAGGCCUACGCACAGCACCAACACCAGCGGCGGCAGCCCGCGCAGCGGCAGCAGCCCGCGCCGCGGCAGCGCCGGCGGCACGUGCGGGCGCAGGGCCAGCAGCACCAGCAGCAACAGCAGCCCCAGUCGCGCCAGCCCCAGCCGUCACAGCAGGCGCAGCAGCCCGCGCCGCGGCGGCGGCGGCGGCGGCGAUAAGGGCGGGCUGGUAGGCGGCCGUGCGGGCGCAGCCCAGCCCCCAGCGCCCGGGGCGGCAGUGGCAGAAGCCGCUGCGGCAGGUGCCGGCGCCGCUGCAGUUGGGCGAAAACCAGCAGGACUGCGGGCAGGGGGGGGGGGGAGCAGGGCGGAAGGGCCAGAGGGAUCGGGGGCAGAGGGAUCGGGGGCAGAGGGGUCAGGGAGCAGGGGGCAGAGGGGUCAGGAGGUUUCGGGUCAGGCGCGUGCAUGGAUGGGGAGACACGCACCGGGCGAGACACGUGUCGUACCGCUGUGCCGUACUGCUGUGCCGUACUGCGGACAUCUCCAUGCAGGACACAGUAGCUGCAGGGACCACAUGCACUGUCCAACCCCCCCCCCCCCCCGAGCCCCCUCAUAGCCCCCAUGGGGGGUUGCACCGGCGCCUACGCCCACGCCUGCCUCCGCGCGUGCCCCCGCGCCUGCGCCUGCCCCUGUGCCUUCCCCCGCAUAUCCACAUGCCCACAUCGUCUUCUACUCAGACCUUGCAAAGCCCCCGUGCUGGUUUGCGCCCCCCCUACUACUUUGCGCCUGCCCCGCCCCGCCUACCCGCCUGCCUCCACCUCACCUCGGGGUUGAGCUCCGCGCAGGUGCGGCCCUUGAACCCCAGGCGGCACCAGCACCUGGGGCGCGGCUCCUUGAGCCCCUUCUCCUCCUCCUCCCCAUGCGCCUCCCCCAGCGCGUCAUCCCACGUCACCGCCCCCGCCUCGCCCUUCCCUUCCUCGCCCUUCCCUCCCUCGGCCUCAGCCUGGUCGUCGUCGUCUUUGCGGGUGUCCUGCAGCCGCUCGAAGCUCCACUCCUGCGUUUGCGCACGCGCGAAAAGUGACAGCUGAACUAACAGCGGAGUAAAGAACAGGUGAACUAACAGCGGAGUAAGGAACAGGUGAACUAGCAGCGGAAAGAACAGCUGAACUAAAAGCGGAAACGUGUCAAAGUUGAGCCCAACGACCGCAUGGACCGGCGCAAAUGCGGCAGCGCCCCUUUCCCCCUGUUUGAUUCUCCCUGGGAUUCGGGAAACGGAAACCAGCCACCCACCCAAACCCGCCCGCUGCCUCCCCCCCACAGCCCUCACCCAGGAGUCGGGGUUGGGCACCACACACACUCCCUGCCCCUCGCUGCAGCGGUCCGCGCACUCGUCCAGCGCCGCCGGCCGCAGCAGCGAGCCCUCCCACUUGCCGGGCGCGCCUGCGAGGGAGGCGGGACGAGGCGGGGCAGGCGCGGGCAGAGAGGCUCGUGAGCGGUGUGCGCGAGUUGUGCGGGUCAGUGAGCAUGUGUGCCAUAUGUUCGCGUGCCGGCUUUGCAGCCCAUGCCCACGCCCAGUGGUGUCCACUACACGCGCGCAAGAACACCACAAUGUAAACACGCACCCCGUCUGUUAUCGCCAAAUCGGUGUUAUUACCAAGCACACACACACCCGCCCGCCCUUGCUCCCCUGUCCCUUUGUCACCAAGUCAACCACACACACACACACACACACACACACACGCACGCACGCACGCACGCACGCAGACACACACACACACACACACACACACACACACGCGGGGAUUAGGCGUGCCCGGUAAACGUUGUAGCGCGUCGCCGACGCGGAGCAUGGCAGCGCAUGCGGGCGCACCUCGGAGACGAGGCUGAAUGCCAAACGCCCGGGUAGGGGGUUCCAGGCAACAUAUGCGGGUGAGUAUACGCGAGGUGACAACUGGGGCAACAUCGACACACGCGGAGCUCGGUAACCGGCGUCGGUAUUUGUUGGUAACUGCGCGCGCGUGUAUGGCGGAAUUUUGUUCCGUUUGAUUCUUUGUUUAACACACACGCCUCACGCACCCGCCAGCUCCGGCGCCUUGAGGCUGUUCCUGUACCGGUGCCCGCCCUCCACCUCGGGGAUGUGGCGGAACCAGGUGGUGGCGGACAGGUCAGCGGGGUAGACCGAGUCGUUGGCGGGGUGGCCGCUGUCGCUGUUUGUGUGUGUGGGAGGAGGGGAGGGGGAGAAAUGGAGGUUGUUUGCAUCGUUCCCAGGGGUGCGCGUGUGUGAGAGAACACGAGUGAAGGAGCACGCCGGACGGUGCGUGUGGCAAAGAGGUCCCCUCCAUUGUGCCCUACACACAAUCACACAAACUACAAGUACACAUGCUCCCCCCAUGCACGUCCCCCGUCUUACUUCCCCAACACACGCACGCACACACAAACAAGCACACAUAUACACACGCACACGCACACGCACGAGCCCACACUCUCACUCGCCUGUUGUACAGGUAGCAGUGUGCGCGGUACAGCCCGCGGCCGGCGCCGUGUGUGCACACGUCCUCCAGGUCCGACCCGGUCCAGGGGCUGCGGGCCGGGCAGUACAGCCGGUAGCACUGACGGUGAGGGGAGGGAGGGAGGCGGGGUUGGAUGGAGGGGGGGUGUUGUGAAUAGCAGCCCAAACCGCAAGUCCACUGAUACCGGCGUUUAGCUGAGCAAGAGGCAAAUGCUGCCACAUCCAAACCAAACCACGUUCAACUAGCGCAGCACAGGCAGAGGCGUUAGGGGGGAAGGGGGGGGGGGGUUGCGUGCCCAAGCCCAACGACAAACGGGAGGGGAAGCGGGGGAAGAGGGGUGGAACAGGGGAGGAAGAGGGGUGGAAGAGUGUGGGAGUAUGUACGGUAUGUGUGCCGUGGAAGUGUUUGGUGUGGGCUGCCGACGAGGAGGCAAACAUGCCUUGGCCCUCACAGCCCUCCCAUACCCAGUCCUGCAGUUCCAUCACGUGGAGAAUGCAGUGGGGCAGCGAUGAGACCCAAGCCCCCCGCACCGCACAACCCCAGCCGCAACCCAUCACCCACCCCCACACAACCCCUGCACCCCACACCCCACACGCCACACCUCUCGGUAGCACUCGCAGUUCUUGGGCACAGUACUGCCGCAGAAGCCCGGGUCCCGAGACGUGGACUUGCAGGCAGCCAUGCGGUCGUGCUCGCAGGCGGGGCCUUGACGGGGGCGUGGUGGGGCAUUGGAAUCGCGCGGGAGGAGCGAAGUGAGAGAAAACGGUGACGACGCGGUGACUGGCGGGAUGUCGAGUACACUUCGUGUGGGGCGCGCGGCGUGAGACCUAUUGUCUUCGAAGCGCGGUCAAGCGCAGCUUCUCACCGUCCCAUCCCCAAGGACACUGGCAGACGCCGCGCUCCGCGUCGCAGUUGCCGCGUUUCUCGCAGCCGGCCGGGCAUGGCAGCAGUCGCUGCACCACGGCGGGUGUGGCUGACGUGUCUACCGUCUCCAGGACAUACGCAAUAAAGGCUACAUGUGCGAUGAUUGCAACUAGUAAUGAAGAAGAGCAGAAAGUCGUCGAGGCUCGAGUGUGCCAGCCUCGCAUAAAAACUAUGGAUUGCGACCAGUUGGCGCCGAAAAGACUGCUAGCAUUUUCAAGUGGCUUUCAUAGACACCAAUUAUGCUUGGCUUCAAGUGCAGGGAAAACACCUUUGUGACUUUGUCACAGCCGCACCAAUCGAGCCAUGAGCAGGGAGGCUUGUACUGGCCUUGGCAAACUAUUCCAGACUUUCUGCGUAACAUGCAUGGGCGCGGGAUGUGGGGUGUUACAGGCAACAGGGGUGGGAGACUGGCGGGCUCGCGGGGCGCGGGCUGUGACAGCUGGGCGCAUGGUGUUUGGCGCGCCGCAGCUUUUGCAAAUAGUCUUAUUGUUCAAAACUCAUAUGCAUGCAUUGCAAAUAUACAGGCUUCGAAUGCACUCAAAUGUCUAACUGCUCGGCCUCCGGCAAGUAUGAUAAGGCU